UGAAAUCUCCUGAAGGUUCUCUGGU
rnacentral:piRNA from 1 species